rnacentral:misc_RNA from 1 species
AGCACCGUGUACUUGGGCGG